rnacentral:rRNA from 1 species
GAUGAACGCUAGCGGCAGGCCUAAUACAUGCAAGUCGAACGGUGGUAGCAAUACCAUAGUGGCGCACGGGUGCGUAACACGUAUGCAACCUACCUUAUACAUGGGGAUAGCCUUUGGAAACGGAGAUUAAUACCCGAUAGUAAUAUUGACUGGCAUCGGUUAAUAUUUAAAGAUUUAUCGGUAUAAGCUGGGCAUGCGUCCAAUUAGUUAGUUGGUGAGGUAACGGCUCACCAAGACGAUGAUUGGUAGGGGAACUGAGAGGUUAAUCCCCCACACUGGCACUGAGAUACGGGCCAGACUCCUACGGGAGGCAGCAGUAGGGAAUAUUGGGCAAUGGAGGCAACUCUGACCCAGCCAUGCCGCGUGCAGGAAGAAGGCGUUAUGC